rnacentral:lncRNA from 1 species
GAACAAGCUGGCUAGCUCCAUUACCCAACUUAUCUUUAACUUUCCAUAACACCAUAACAAUAGUCAGUAAGCCUUAGUCUAAUUGGAGCAUUUUCUAUUCAGUUUUCCUACUUAUCAUGCACUGUGCCUACAUAUGCCUAAGGGAAAUGACUAUAUGGUGCCCAAAAAUGCAUUGUGAUGCGAUAACAUAAAACUUCAAUGAUCACAUUACUUAGUUAUGUAUUGCACGU